rnacentral:rRNA from 1 species
UACGUAGGGUGCAAGCGUUAAUCGGAAUUACUGGGCGUAAAGCGUGCGCAGGCGGUUAUGCAAGACAGAUGUGAAAUCCCCGGGCUCAACCUGGGAACUGCAUUUGUGACUGCAUGGCUAGAGUGCGGCAGAGGGGGAUGGAAUUCCGCGUGUAGCAGUGAAAUGCGUAGAUAUGCGGAGGAACACCGAUGGCGAAGGCAGUCCCCUGGACCUGUACUGACGCUCAUGCACGAAAGCGUGGGGAGCAAACAGG